rnacentral:tRNA from 1 species
GGCAGUUAGAAAAAGCGUAAGAUUACUUAAAAAUAAACCGUAAGGGCUGUUCCGGGAAUUGAACCCGGGACCUCUCGCACCCGAAGCGAGAAUCAUACCACUAGACUAAACAGCCUGUCCCCUUGAACCAGUGAGAUUCCGAGCCUUCGACACACCUACCGUGGUGGGCAUCUUCCAGGAGGCGAAGCAGGAUUGAGACUCCAAUUACCACACAGAGGCAUCAUGUACCAUAUUUUGGAACCGAUAACAAUGAAUAUGACUUGUAGUAGACGGUAGCGAAUUUCGUGUGCUCGUUCCAAUGGGGUAGUGGGGGAUGGUCUCUACCGAACGCUGUGUGGUGUUUACGGGAAUACUCGCGUUGGAAGUCUGGCUUCGUGUUCGCGUACCGGUGUUGCAGCUGCUGGCCCUGUUCCUCUGUCUCUUUCAAUCACUCAGAACCUGCCUUUAAAAGGGCUCGUUUCGAUCUCUUUUCUAGUAAUGGACCAGAGUACCUGCUAGCGAUCUCCAUAAUCAUAACCGUGCCCGUUAAUCCGCAAGAUGGUGUCCCCGGGGCAGGUGUCGAAGGUAGUGCUGCUAUAACGCAUGCUCUUUUUCAGCAAUCAAGAGACGCCGAUAAAAAGUUUUCAACGCUUGUACCAGCUUUUAUUGCCUGGUCUUUCGAUUAUUCAAAGCAACCUUGCUACUCUUUCCGCUCAGCAUGUGAUGCGAUCAACGUUAUCAAGUGGUCGUCUUUUCGUGUACUUUAUCAUAAAUGUUUGACCUGCUUGGAUUUAGUGGUAUCAAAUGCCUCUUGAUGAGCUGUGCCAUUUGCAAAGAAACAAUAAUGACGCAGAACUGCC